UUGGGGUUGACAAGAUAUCCUGGUCUGGAGAUCCUGUAGAUAUUCUGGCAAUAAAGAAUCUUCUAUCUUGAGUAUCCAAAGGUUCUAACACAACUUCAUCGUGUCUUGUUUUAUGGAUGAGGAAAUUGAUCACAGCACACACACACACAUACACCAUUACACUGUUUAAAAAUUUUUCAAUAGCUUCUUCUUGGUCCUAGGCUAUAAUCUAAUAUUCUUAUUCUGUGGCCUACAAGACCCUGUCAUUCUUUUUGCCCACGCCCACCCACUUCUCAAAAUGUUUCUUAUGUUCUCUCCCCCUUAUUCACUCUGAACUUUCUUCAUUCAGCUAUUUGAACCUGCUAUUCCUCUUUGUUCAGGGUCUUUGCACAAACUAUUCCUUCUUUCUGGAGGGCUUUCUCCCUCUCCUGGCCAACCUAAUGCCUCUUCAGCCUGGAUAUCUUGCCAUAAACAUCACUUCUCCAGGCAUAAAAGAUAUAUGUGCCACAACCAGGGCGAUCUGGUUCAAUAGCCCUCAGAAAAGAGAAGGGGUGGGUGUCUCUGAAUUGCACCCCAUGAUUCACUGGAAGGGCUUCCCUGGUGGCUCAGAUAGUAAAGAAUCUGCCUGCAGUGCAGAAGACCCAGGUUUAAUCCCUGGGUCAGGAAGAUCCCCUGGAUGAGGAAAUGGUAACCCACUCCAGUACUCUUGCCUGGAGAAUUCCAUGGACAGAGCAGCCUGGCAGGCUACAGUCCAUGGGGUCAAAAAAGAGCUGGACAUGACUGAGUGACUAAAACUUCCACUUUCACAUUCACUGGAAACCUAAGUCAAGUGUUCACUCAGGAGCAUGAGCAGGGACCUGUGGCCACACACCUUCUGGCCUUCUCAGGGUCUUGCUGCCAAAAGCUAGGGCUAGAGAGCCGUGGAGCUUCAGGGCCCCUGUCACAUCCUCCCAUGAGGCUGCAAACGUAGCACUGGGCCUUCGUACUCACAGACACACAGACCUAGGCGAGGGGAGGAGGAAGGACCCUCGGGCGUGCACUUCACUUUCUGUAAUGGAUACUGCUGGGAUGCAGUAGAAUUUUAUUUUAUUAAGGAUACUGCUUUAAAUACAUACUGAUUUUGUGAUUGCUAAAAGAGCACUACAGGAAAUAGUGUUGUAAAGCAAACAAUCACCUAAUGUGUCCUUGUUUAAAACGGACAUUGUAACAAAACUAAGAUAGUACUUCGCUUAGAAAGUUGAAUUUCUUAGAAGUCUAGAGUGUCUAGUUCAGUAGGAUGUUUCUGUGUUAACCACAAAUGUAUGCUUGGUCAGAUUUCUGUGAACCCCAAAUAAGGAAUAAAAAAUGGGGCUUUGUCUCGUUUCUUACAUUUUUAUUUUUCUAGGUGGGUGGUCUAGAAGGGAAAAAGAUGUACCAUAAUUUUACUAAUGUAUUUAAAGUUUGGCUGUGUCAGACUGAUUUCAGUCCUUCAUUUGCAAGUGUAUACUUUCUGAUUCUUUUAUCCAGGCCUACUCUUUACAAACAACUUUACUGAGAUGUACUUUGCCUAUCAUAAAAUUCACUUAUAAAUUUACCAAAAUCUGCAACCACCACCACAGUCUGGAUUGAGCACAUCUCAGUCACCCUAAUAACAUUCCUGGUGACCAUAAGGAGUCAUUUCCCCUUUUCCAUUCCUAGCCUCAGGCAACCACUAAUCUACUUUCUAUCUCUAGAGAUUUGUGGAAAGUAUUAUAUCUUCACACACAUAUAUGUAAUAUAAAUCAAAAAUACAUCUCUUCUUUAACAAAAUCCUACUUAUACACCAAGAUUUUGCUGUUUUCAAUGUUUAAAGUUUUUUUAGUAACAAAUAAAUGAAAGGUUGCAAAGAAACCUCUGAAAAACAGUCCUACAAACAACAUGUUUUUCCACUGUAAAAUACUACUUUAAAGCUUAUGACAACCAACCAACAGACAGCAUUUUUCCAUCAUGCAAUGUUUUCCUCAUUAAAGUCAAAAGUGUCCAUUUUACUCUCUUCCAGUAUUCCUAUCCCCUCAACCCCAAUCAAACUCUUCACAGGUUUAAAAGAGUUUAUAGCACAUAUCCUUAACUUCAUUUGCAGACAAAACCCUGGAGAAAUUUAGUCUCCUCCAAAUUUGGAUCACGAGCUGGAGCAAGCAAAUGAAACUUCCCCAAAUGACAUCCUGUUCCAUAGCUUUUAAGAGCUAUGAUAAAGUUUCUAGACUCUCUUUAAAGAUAUUCUGGAAAUUCAUCAGACUAGUCAUAAAGCCACUAACUUCCUUAGCAACCCGGUAAUAUUGUGAGCUUUCCAAGUUAAUUAUAGAUCUUGUUAUUUUAAGGAACAAUCAUUAAUUGAGAUCUUUUAAUUAAAUUAACAAGAGGUUAUGAAAUAGGUUCUACAAAAUAACCCUUUGCCCCUUUAACAACCAAUGAAAAAAAUUCUUAUCAUGGUAAGUUAAAGAAUUGACCAUUGGUCAACAUGACAAAUGUAUGAAAUUAAGUCAUUUCCCCAUAACUCUCCAGCCCAGCACAAUUGUGAAAGUAGAUAAAUCACAUUUCAUUUGGGCUUGUACCACCCAAUUUACUGCCCUAGAACACAACAGCCUUGUUCAGGCCAAUUCACAGACUUCUGACAGGAGCCUUCACAGGCCCCCAGUUUGCCAGUUUCUGAGUCUAGUACACUGGCUCUCACAAGGGUGCUGACCUGCUUUCUAUUUUCAACUGGAAUUUCCUCCUCUGGGGUGACAGGAUCCCCACCCUCAGUGGCAUUCACCUGGUUUUCUGUUCAGUGCCCCUGUUCUACAGCUUGCCCCUCGCUCUGGAACUGAAGGGAAUUCCAGGCUCGCCUCUUGCAGAGUCCAAUGACAGGAACACUCAUGGACAUUAUGCUUCACGUAUGGUGGGAAUCAGGUUUUGUGAGCAUCCCAAGUUCCUCUUAGGAGACACCAAAGUGAUAUUUACUCAGGAAGUUGCUGGGAUCUAAGACAAGACCUGCAGGAAAUGAUAGCAGGGAGGCCAGGUUGUAGGGCUAAAGCUGUAAAGACAUCUCCAUUCAAAGGGUCACAAGAAUGUGGAAGAGUCAGCCAAAAGAAACAUCCCAAAGCAUAAGAUGGGGCCACAUCCCUUGGCAAAACACAGGCUGCCCUGGAGGACCAACAGCUCUCUCACCGCCCAGCUCUUGUGGCUGCACUCAGCAAGCUAUAUAGAGUUUAAAGAGUUUAAAGAAAAGGGCACUGGUGUUUUUAGGGUCAGCCCUUGGAGGCCCUUUACAUUCCUUGCUCUGAGGGAGUUCUGGACAGAUUAAUGUAAAAAUCGCAAAUGCAAAACAAGAGCCAGCACUUUAAACCAAGGAGUAAAUGACAUUUUUCCGAGUUCAACUCUCCAUUUUGAAGGGGUAAGAAUAGCAAAGUUUGCGAAAAUUUUUCUGCCUAGAAUGUUUACAAAAUAAGGUAUGUGCUUAGUCUCUCAUUCGUGUCCAACUCUUUGUGAUCCUAUGGACUAUAGCCCACCAGGCUCCUCUGUCCAUGGGACUCUCUAGGCAAGAAUACUGGAGUGGGUUGCCAUGCCCUCCUCCAGGGGAUCUCCCGACCCAGAAACUGAACUGGGGUCUCCUGCACUGCAGGCGGAUUCUUUACCAGCUGAGCUACGAGGGAAAAUAUGAGACAAAACAAUUUUUAACUUAAAACUUGCAGAGGAUUUUCUGGUGACUUAGAGAAGGAGACGGAGAAGAUAGAUAGGUUUUAGACACUAUAAGCUAUAUGUGAAUGCAUCUUACUUUUUAAUUAAGAGGAAGUCUGAGAGUAGAAACUAGAUAUUAUCCUUUUUUGAAAUUUUCCUUUAGCACUGGACUCACAUCUGGUUCUCCACACAUUCUAGUGAAUAAAUGAAUGUUCAGUGCUAUUUUGCCCUUAUCUGAACACACUCAAUUUUCUUCUCCAUACGGACCAUAUGUGUCCCCUUUCUUUUGCCCUCUCUCUUAUAUAACAGUGGGCUUUCCUUGUGGCUUCAGACGGUAAAGAAUCUGCCUGCAAUGCAGGAGACUGGGGUUCAAUCCCUGGGUCAGGAAGCUCCCCUAGAGAAGAGAAGGGCUACCCACUCCAGUAUUGUUGCCUGAAGAAUCCAUGGACAGAGGAACCUGGCAGGCUAUAGUCCAUGGGGUCACCAAGAGUUGGACACGGCUGAGUCACUAACACUAACACACUUAUAUAACAGUAGAUCUAUCUACAGCAUCUGUGGUCAUUUGAGACACAGCUUCAGACCAGAAAUCCAAAAACUUUUUGGGUAAAGAGCCAGACAGAAAAUAUUUUAGAGUUUGCAUGCCAUGGAGUCUGUCGCAACUACUCAACUCUGCUGGUGUAACCUGAAAGCAGUCAUAGUUGAUAUGUAAAUGAAAGGGCAUGGCUAUUUUCAUGGACACAAAAUUUUUAUUGCAUAUAAUGUUCACAUGUGAUGAACUAGUCUUCUUUGCAUUUUUUCCCACUAUUUCAAAAUGCAAUACUUAUCUAUUCUUACCUUGCAGGCUGUUAAAAAAAAAAAAAAAAAAAAGCAGGCAGCAGCCCAGAUUUGGUCCAUGGGCCGUAGUUUGCUGGCCUUCAACUUAGACAACUGAGUGACUGUGAUAUGGUGGGUGCUCUACUAGGUAUGACCACCUACAGAGCAAACUGAAAAACAAAAUGGGAUUUGGCAACUGUUCAGUCAGUUGAUUUGCUAGAGGAAGACAGGGCAAAGGUUUUAAAUUCAGAGAGGAAAUUCUGUGUGUGUGCAUUAUUUUUAAUUUAGUUUAUCCAUGUACAUAGCAAAGUUGAUCAAACUCAUCAGCUAAUUUCCAAAUGUUGGCUCUGAUUUGUUUGAACUACGGUAUUUAUAUUUGUUUCUUCUUAUUGUAAAUGACCUCAUCCACAAUCUCAGAAGACGGUUUUAAAAACGGGAGCCAAAUUUAUAAAUCUUUGUAAAGUGACACUAGUAAAUUAAAACGAAUUAAAAAAUCUCCCGGGAGGUGAAUGUUUUCCUUUUAAUAUAUUGAGGAACCAGUGUUGCUAAGCCCAAGGAAACAGAGGAAGACUGUGACGAUUCUGUUUAAAUGUUAAUAGAUUCAGUCUAUUUCUAUAAUAUUCCCUCAAUAUCUAUUCAGUAUGUAUCCAAUCAAUGUGGAUUUGUGGAGACUGGUAUCAGAAGGAUCUUCCCAUUAUCCUGCCUCUCUUGCUUAAUUAGGUCAUAAGGAAAUACAUAUUGAUACAUAACAGAAAGGAAUCAUUGAGCAAAUAGGAAAAAAUUGAGAUAGAUUUGCAUCUUCUUAAACAUGUCAGUAUUUUCAAAAUUUGAUUACAUACUGUGGGAAAGUGAAUGAUUCGCCCUAUUUCUUCACCCCUUACUGUGCUCACACCCCUGCCAUGCCCCAUCAUGGAGGAAGUAUAUUUCCUUACUCAGUGACAUUAGGCUUGGUCAUGACUUGCCUUGGUCAUGGUAGAUGGGUAGAGAUGAGAGUGUGCCUGAGCUCAGCCUGCGCAUUAAGAAUCCUUA
ensembl:lncRNA